rnacentral:rRNA from 1 species
GGCCAUCGCUCAACGGAUAAAAGCUACCCUGGGGAUAACAGGCUUAUCUCCCCCAAGAGUCCACAUCGACGGGGAGGUUUGGCACCUCGAUGUCGGCUCAUCACAUCCUGGGGCUGUAGUAGGUCCCAAGGGUUGGGCUGUUCGCCCAUUAAAGUGGUACGCGGGCUGGGUUCAGAACGUCGUGAGACAGUUCGGUCCCUAUCCGUCGCAGGCGUAGGAAAUUUGAGCAGACCUGUCCUUAGUACGAGAGGACCGGGAUGGACGUACCUCUGGGGUACCAGUUGUCCUGCCAAGGGCAUGGCUGGGUAGCUGUGGGCGGGAGGGG